GGCUUAGAGUUUGAUCAUGGCUCAGGAUGAACGCUGGCGGCAUGCCUAACACAUGCAAGUCGAACGAGGGUAGCAAUACCCGAGUGGCGGACGGGUGAGUAACGCGUGAACAAUCUGCCUGUAUCUGGGGAAUAACACAGAGAAAUUUGUGCUAAUACCGCAUAAGACCACGGUAGGGCAUCCUACAGAGGUAAAAGAUUUAUCGGAUACAGAUGAGUUCGCGUCCCAUUAGGUAGUUGGUGAGGUAACGGCCCACCAAGCCGACGAUGGGUAGCCGACCUGAGAGGGUGAUCGGCCACAUUGGAACUGAGAGACGGUCCAGACUCCUACGGGAGGCAGCAGUGGGGAAUAUUGGGCAAUGGAGGGAACUCUGACCCAGCAAUGCCGCGUGAGUGAAGAAGGUUUUCGGAUUGUAAAACUCUUUAAUCGGGGACGAAGAAAGUGACUGUACCCGAGGAAUAAGCAUCGGCUAACUACGUGCCAGCAGCCGCGGUAAUACGUAGGAUGCAAGCGUUAUCCGGAAUGACUGGGCGUAAAGGGUGCGUAGGCGGCAUGUCAAGUUGGCAGCGUAAUUCCGGGGCUUAACUCCGGAACUACUGCCAAAGCUGGCGAGCUGGAGUGCGGCAGGGGUAUGUG
rnacentral:rRNA from 1 species